GUCGAGAGGCUUCGGCAAUGGGGGAAACCCUGACCGAGCGACGCCGCGUGGAGGAUGAAGGCCCUUGGGUUGUAAACUCCUUUUGUCGGGGAAGAAAUGCGAUCAGGUGAACAAUCUGGUCGUUUGACGGUACCCGGCGAAUAAGCUCCGGCUAACUCCGUGCCAGCAGCCGCGGUAACACGGGGGGAGCAAGCGUUGUUCGGAAUCACUGGGCGUAAAGGGCGUGUAGGCGGUCAGGUAAGUGGAAUGUGAAAGCCCUCGGCUCACCCGAGGAUCUGCAUUUCAAACUGCCUGGCUUGAGUAUGGGAGAGGAUGAGGGAAUUCCUGGUGUAGCGGUGAAAUGCGUAGAUAUCAGGAGGAACACCGGUGGCGAAGGCGCUCAUCUGGCCCAAUACUGACGCUGAGGCGCGAAAGCUAGGGGAGCAAACGGGAUUAGAUACCCUUGUAGUCC
rnacentral:rRNA from 1 species